UAUUAGAGUUGGCUGAGCAUGAAAACCAUAAUACAUUAUGCCAAGGAAUCUGUUAUCACUGUGAUGUAACACAGAGAAAUGGUCAGAAUAACCAGAAGAAUGGCCAGAAAGAGGUGUGGCCAAGGAUGUAGCCAGAGGACUCUAGAUGAAUGAAGAACAAGAGGAAAGGAUGAAACAGAGAACCAUAUCAUUAAAAACAAAGAGGAGCUAAUCAUAUGACAAAAAGAUGGAAUGGCAGCUAAAAGAUGGGUUCAGUUGUCUGUCACAAGAUUUUGGAAUUGUUUGUCCAAUAAAUUGUGAAGAUUGGAUUUGUCUCUCCCCUGAUUGUAACAAUGAAGGUACUUAGCUCUUCCUUGAUUGUAAACUUGGAAUGAAGAGACACUUGGAGUGAAGAGACAUACUUAGAGUGGAGAGAGACACUUGGAGUGGAGACUGACAAUUUGAAUGGAACCUCCUGUAAGAAGCAGUUCUACUGGAGUUGAGGAUGAUAAAGAAACUGCUGAUUGAACUGACAUGUGGUGCGUGUAAAGGCUGACUUCUUUUCCUUGACUCCUUCCGCUGGCUGGGGCCUUUGAAUUCCUACCUGGAUCAGAGGAAGCUGAAGCUCUUUCUCUCUCUCCAUUUCUUCUCUUUCUCUCUUCCUUAAUAUCUUCCCUCUAUUGUAAAACAAAUUCCAUUCUGACUUUAGUAAUUCAUUUUUGGUAUUUGGUAAUUAAAUCCCUGUUGACCAAUUAAAUAUAUAUAUAUAUAUUCAUAAAUUUAACAAAAUGCAAAU
rnacentral:lncRNA from 1 species